rnacentral:misc_RNA from 1 species
GAUGAAGAACGCAGCGAAAUGCGAUAAGUAAUGUGAAUUGCAGAAUUCAGUGAAUCAUCGAAUCUUUGAACGCACCUUGCACUCCUUGGUAUUCCGAGGAGUACGCCUGUUCGAGUGUUAUGAAGCUCUCAAAACGCAAUUGGCUUAAAACCUGAUUGUUGUUUUGGAUUUGAACUUUGCCGUGUUAUAACGGCUGGUUUUAAAAGUAUUAGCUGGUACUAGAACGAAUUGGUUCUACUCAACGUGAUAAUUAUCUGAUCGUUGAGGACAUUCCUUUCACGAGGAAUGGCCAUAGUAAAUUCAAUGGACUGCUUCUAAUCUGGCUUUAAUUCUUUAUUGGAUUAACCACUUUUCAAAUCUGACCUCGAAUCAGGUGGGACUACCCGCUGAACUUAAGCAUAUCAAUAAGCGAGGA